rnacentral:rRNA from 1 species
UACGGAGGGUGCAAACGUUGCUCGGAAUCAUUGGGCGUAAAGCGCACGUAGGCGGCUUCUUAAGUCGGGGUGUGAAAGCCCUCGGCUCAACCGAGGAAGUGCAUUCGAAACUGAGGGGCUUGAAUACUGGAGAGGAUGGCGGAAUUCCCGGUGUAGAGGUGAAAUUCGUAGAUAUCGGGAGGAACACCAGCGGCGAAGGCGACUACCUGGCCUGUUUUUGACGCUGAGGCGCGAAAGCUAGGGGAGGCAAACGGG